AAACAAAUCGGAAAUGGCUCAAUUAAUUCCAGGAAAAUUCACACAUCAACUAGACAUAUAAGAGAUGGCUCAUGCAAAAUUUCAGAUUAAUUGGAGGUCAGGAAGCAUGUCAACAAAAAUCAUAAACUUGCAUACCAUUGGUGUGACACAAAUUGUCACACCCUACUUCAAAAAUUCAUAUCUCACAAACCACACAUGAUAAAUUCAAAAACUCUACAUCAAAACAAACAUGAGUGAGUUUAGAAUAACUACAAAAAAUUUCAGGGGCAUUGG
rnacentral:lncRNA from 1 species